rnacentral:rRNA from 1 species
UACGGGGGGUGCAAACGUUGCUCGGAAUUAUUGGGCGUUAAGCGCACGUAGGCGGUCUUGUAAGUCGGGUGUGAAAGCCCGGGGCUUAACCCCGGAAGUGCACUCGAAACUGUAAGGCUUGAGUAUGGAAGAGGGUCUCGGAAUUCCCGGUGUAGAGGUGAAAUUCGUAGAUAUCGGGAGGAACACCAGUGGCGAAGGCGGAGACCUGGGCCAAUUCUGACGCUGAGGUGCGAAAGCGUGGGGAGCAAACAGG